rnacentral:rRNA from 1 species
UGGGGAAUAUUGGACAAUGGGGGGAACCCUGAUCCAGCCAUGCCGCGUGUGUGAAGAAGGCCUUAUGGUUGUAAAGCACUUUAAGCGAGGAGGAGGCUACUUUGGUUAAUACCCAGAGAUAGUGGACGUUACUCGCAGAAUAAGCACCGGCUAACUCUGUGCCAGCAGCCGCGGUAAUACAGAGGGUGCGAGCGUUAAUCGGAUUUACUGGGCGUAAAGCGUACGUAGGCGGCUUUUUAAGUCGGAUGUGAAAUCCCUGAGCUUAACUUAGGAAUUGCAUUCGAUACUGGGAAGCUAGAGUAUGGGAGAGGAUGGUAGAAUUCCAGGUGUAGCGGUGAAAUGCGUAGAGAUCUGGAGGAAUACCGAUGGCGAAGGCAGCCAUCUGGCCUAAUACUGACGCUGAGGUACGAAAGCAUGGGGAGCAAACAGG